UCGGGAAUUUUGGGCAAUGGGCGAAAGCCUGACCCAGCAACGCCGCGUGAGGGAUGAAGUAUUUCGGUAUGUAAACCUCGAAAGAAUGGGAAGAAUAAAUGACGGUACCAUUUAUAAGCUCCGGCUAACUACGUGCCAGCAGCCGCGGUAAUACGUAGGGAGCAAGCGUUGUUCGGAUUUACUGGGCGUAAAGGGCGCGGAGGCGGCGGGGUAAGUCACUUGUGAAAUCUCUGAGCUUAACUCAGAACGGCCAAGUGAUACUGCUGUGCUAGAGUGCGGAAGAGNCAACCGGAAUUCUUGGUGUAGCGGUGAAAUGCGUAGAUAUCAAGAGGAACACCUGAGGCGAAGGCGGGUUGCUGGGCCGACACUGACGCUGAUGCGCGAAAGCCAGGGGAGCAAACG
rnacentral:rRNA from 1 species